rnacentral:rRNA from 1 species
CACGUAGGGGGCAAGCGUUGUCCGGAUUCAUUGGGCGUAAAGAGCUCGUAGGCGGUUCGAUAAGUCGGGUGUGAAACCUCCAGGCUCAACCUGGAGACGCCACCCGAUACCGUCGUGACUAGAGUCCAGUAGGGGAGCGUGGAAUUCCUGGUGUAGCGGUGAAAUGCGCAGAUAUCAGGAGGAACACCAGCGGCGAAGGCGGCGCUCUGGGCUGGAACUGACGCUGAGGAGCGAAAGCGUGGGGAGCGAACAGG